AAAAGUACCUGCAUCAUUAAAACUCAAUGCUACGAGUGAGCGAGCGCCCUGUCGUGAGAUGGCCGCCAAAAUGCGGACGUUGCACUCAAUUGGCCAGCAGCGCGGACGAGCCAUCUAGCCUUUAUACACAUAUCUAUAGAGGGGUUGCAAGUUUACAAACAUUGCAGGGUGCGCGCGCAUCCAGGGGGCAGAAAGCCCGAUUGGUGAGCUGAUCCGCUACUGCAACAACCUUAAUUAUUGAAGCGUUCUUUAUUGUUUGUAUAUAAAUAAGACUUGAUUUUAGUUGGAUCUGUUUUUCUGUCUUUAUUUUUGCAGUUUUACUGUGAUACAUGUAUGAAUUAUAAUGUUAUAAUUUUAAUGCUAGUAACGUAAUAGUCGCAUCUACUGGUAUGUUAACAUCAGGCACCCAGCACUGACUCUGUUGGUACUAUUUUCCACGCAAAAAUUCCUUGGCAUUUUGACUUACAGACACCGCUACUAGCAUACAACACAAUGCACGUCUCUUCUUUCUGCCCCUCGGUUGCGCGCGCAACCAGUUAGUGACGUCGCCGUGCAACCCGUCUAUGGGCUACAGUGGUUGGGUGGGUGCGCCGCUCUAAUGUGCCCGUUAAGAACGUUAUGCGUCGCAUUAGUUCCGCUUUUGGCGCUCGCGUGUAAAAUCAAAAUAAAUGUAUACUUUUUUAUUUGGUCAGCACGGGGUGGCCACAGGGGUGGCCAGGGACUUGUCUACAGAGGCACGGGCCACCCUUGGCCUCCGUGUAGAACCGCCACUGGGUCUAAUUGAGCCUUGACGUCUAAUAAUGAGAGCUGAAAACAGCGGCGACACAUGAUUAUUCAAACAUUUAAAAACCAAAUGUUUGGGUUUUCUGGGUUUGUUUUAAAUUAAUGGGUCCUUAAAACCAUCUGUAAAUGUGUGUAUAUUAUACAACAAAUCUAAUUUUUCCUGCUCUGACAAAAAUAAACUAUAUUUUAGAUUUUAGGUGAAGUGGCAGCGGGUAUUUUAUGACAAAUACAGAUUGAUAUAAACAUUUGUUUUUAACAUCACAAGUAUUCUUUAUAGUCAACAAUCAAGAAUCAAACAUUUUAGAUGUAUCUGGUUUAACCUAAAUCUGAUAUUAUCUAUUGAACUAGACUAUUUUUCUGAUCAGCCACAAACAAGAAGCUGCUCUGUGUGUGUCUGUGUGCGUGAGAGAAUUCACAGCAGGGGCAGAUUGUAAAUUUGAUUGUAAAGACUGCGUGUCUCACAGCAGGGGCCGGUGUUUAGAGGUCCUAUCUGUUUCUUUAGACGAAAACCUGUAUAUUUUAAACUAAAUAAAAUUUUAACCGGUUCAUGAGAUCCGUGAGUCUUUUCCCGACCCGAUCUCUAUGUUCACGCGCAUUAAAGCUCGCUUGACAGAGAACGAGUCGAGUGCGUGUACAUGUCUGCCAUUUUAAAAUAAACUUAAUAAAUGUAAUUCUGUCCGCUCUGGCAAAAUAAAGGUUUAUUUUAGAUUUAGGGAUUUCUUUAACCAAGUCUCUGAUUAAAACAUGUGAAUGCGCACACCAACGGUGACAGAGAACGUACGCUGAUGGGCCCUUAAUAUCUGUUAAGAACCUUUUAAACGUUUUAAGACAUUUCAGCCAAUCUUCUGGUUUGAAUUCAUUAAUGUCACCUAACCUCCAAGUGUGUAUAUGUGUAUUUACGAUAAAUGUAACAUGGUCCGCAUUGUCAAAAUAAAAGGUUAUCAUACAUGGAUUUCCUCUGCGUGUUUUUUGUCACGCGAAUGCUUGUCAUAUUUAUUGAUGUGAAAAAAAAGUUUGUUGUUUUGGACGUUCAGUUUCUGGACUGUCAGUUUUUACGAGAGUCUCUCGCUCUCACCAUCCGUUCUCACCCAGAAGCCCCCAGCGUCUCUCAACGGGGUGCCCUUGUAAAGGAGUAAAGAUUUCUAAAACUCUGUGUUGGUAAAAUAAAUGUAAUUCAGCGCACCAAAAGUAAAGGUUUUUUUUAGAUUUUAGGUGGAGCACCCGCGCCUAUUUUAUGGCAAACACUGCAGGAUCUAAAAGUUUGUAACACCAAGAAUUUAUUUAACGAAACAUUCAGUACGUCUAUAAACAAUGCCCCCUAGGCCAUAAUCUCCGGGGUCGUCAAUACUACUUUCUUUUGAUUAAAGGGUAUUUAUUUUAACCUAAAUAAAAGUUUAAUCGCUUCACGAACUCUGUGAAUCUGUUCAUGCACCGCAUUCUAUUGUUCACGCGUAUUAAAGGUCGAUCACCGGUGGUGACAGAGAACGAGCCGGGUGCGUGUUGUGGAAUUUGAUGUUGUUCAAAUGUAUUCUACUAAUCAUAUUAUUAUAAUUCAGCUUAUGUGUGCCUUUACAAAAUUGAUUCUUAUGCUGAAAAUAUGAGGGUUGUCUGUGUGUGUGCUGCAAGGUCGUGGUUUCGGUUGAACGUAGGACCGACCUUGCAGCUGCUGGUGAUAGCCAAAACAAGAACAACGCUUGAAGGAGAAAACACACAGACAAAAGAAAUACAUGCUUUUGAUAUUAAUUCACUAAUAAUCAUUCAUUUCCAGAUUAUUACAUAUAGAAGUGUUUGGAUUUAUAAAAUUAAAUGUUGUCAUGAAUAUUAAUGUAUUAAAAUAUAUAAAUGAUUAUGCCUUUGUGCCCAUGAAUAAUGUAGAAGAUUGCCCUGUAAUAAGACAUCGCCAUAUAAGGAUGAAAUGCUCUAGGGCACAAGGUGUUCUGUAUGUUUGUGUGUUAUAUACCCCCACAGGCCGAAGCAGGGUGUAGUAAUGGAGUCAGAUAAUGAGAUGAGAACCGCCUGUUAUGGGGAGGAGAGAUUUGAAGAAAGAACGACGUCACAUAUCAUAUAAAUAUUCAUGUAUUUCCGUAAGCUGGGGUUGGUUGCUUGCCACAUGGGGCCUUGAAACAACCCAGCGCUGUAAAACUUUUUCAUAUCUGAUCAAUAAAUAGCUUAUUUUUUUUAUACCGUGUCUUUCCUCUAAUUAUGAACAUGCAGAUGGACCCUUAAAGUCCAACAAUUGGUGACCCCGACGUUCUUUGGAGGGAAAGGAGAGACUGAGCGGAAGAAGGGUUUCACAUUGAAGAAACCAGAGUAAGCGAGGAUUCCCUUUCAACACAAAAAGAGCGCUCUAUUAAAAUAAGGUAAGCAGAAGCCUGUUUUAUCGAAUUCUGCUAUUUGGAUAUACCAAAUUACUUGUGUUGAUAAGGAGAUCCGAACUGAAAUACAAAUUUACAUUUUUGUAAAUUGAUCAGAGUGAAAAACUUUUUGAAAUCUUUGAAUUUUGUUAUUAAAUAAAAGGUUGAGGAGUCCUUUAACGCAUUAGGCGUUAUAAAAUACCAACUUGGUUGUAGCCAAAAGGAGUGAAAGGCUCUUGGAUGAAAGGUCCAUAAAUACUGUUAAUGGCGGUGUAAGUUAACAGAAUUAAUUAAAAAGGUUGAGGAUUCCUUUAAUACAUUAGGUAUUAUAAAAUACCGACUCAGGUUGUAUAGCCUGUAGGGGGUGUACAGCAGCCCGUUGGAUGAGAGGUCCACGAAUACUGGAAAGAAGAAGUGACGUCUUAAUGUGAAUAGUAUUGUUGAUAUAUUGUUGUUAUUUUUGUGACAUUUCUGUGAAAGUUGUAUUGUGUUUGUAUUGCGGGUGAAACUCCUGAAAACUACUGGUGUAUAUAUCUUUCUGCUAGAAAAGAGUGACGUGUUGUGCUUUUUGAAGUUUUGAAUGCUUGUAAAUUGUGUGAAAAUGGCUAAAUUUUAAAAAAAAUGUGAUGAGUAUGGUUGCCUAACAGUGUAUGUGCAAUGGCAAAAAGGCAAGUAGUUUGGAAAGGGACCAACUGUAAAAGACUCAGAAACAGAUUUGAGAAAGGGGACGAUUACAAAGAGAAAAGGGGAGGUUGACAGUUGUGCUGUGAGCGAGCAAAAGGAAGUAGAACAAGGAAGCACUGAGCCAGUACCCUCAGCCCCACCCAUGGCUCCUCCUCAAGUGAAGUCACUAUAUCCCUCACUGCACACACCUCCUCCUUAUGAGGAAAAGUCUGUUUCGAUCUCAAAGCAACAGCUGGUGUUAACAGUAAACAGUGGUGAACUAGAUGCUGAAUUUGAUGAAAUAAAGGCCCUGAAAAUAAAAAUGGAAAGAUUACAACAAACAAUUAUGACACAGGGAGAGAUAAUCACAACUCUAUUAAGAUUAUAGAGAAAUACAAAUGAUAGCAACAUGGGAAAGAGAUCUUGUGUAUUACACAGACAGGGCCAUAAACAAAUCACACAAACAGAACUAGUAGAGGUAGAUAAGAUUAAGAAUAAGCUUUUGAAACUGCAGCUAGAACAGACUAAACAGGCAAACACAAAAAAGAAACAAAUGCCCCAGCAGGCCCAACCAACACCAGUAGCUAUGACAACUAGUGUCCCAGACAACGUACAAUAUCUCAAUCAGCUCAUAGAUUCAUAUACAGGCCCACCCUAUACAGGAAACCCGUGGGAGGGAUAUAACCAACAGAGAAGGGGAGGGCCAAGAAGGAGUAGUAGACCAAAACGGGGAGGUUUUGGAGGUUUUGGCAGGAAUACAUGUUAUGUGUGUGGACAGGAAGGACAUUGGAGACGGCAUUGUCCCAACACUUGGUCACAGCCCCAAAAUUCUGGUGCUAGACCACUUAACGGAUCACCUGCGGGGGGAUGGGGUCCCCGAGGAGGUGGUGCCGGGCGUGGAGCCGGUGGCUAUGGCAGGGGGCCACCGAGAUCGCACAACCCAUCACAACCAGAUUUAAUGGCGCCUAUGCACCCAACAUGGGGCCAAAGGGAGUGAUGCGGAUGAAUGACGGGGCACACAGGAACCCACCAUGAAAGGAAUGGCUGGGCCUCUCAUGGAAAUAGUGGUGAACCACACCACUAAGAGCCCUAGUGGAUAAUGAGCCUAAAUAGUUAACAAAAAACAAAAAACAAAAACAAAAAAAAAAAAAAAAAAAAAAUUUAACAACGGUGGGGAUAAUGGGUUUCUGGUAAAAUUGAAAAGUGACUAUCAACAAAUCACUACCCUAUAAGGUAGCAAACCAGUCUAGUUUGCACACAUUUCUGUAUUCCUCCAACACACUUAUUAAUAAUAGAAAGGGACCUAGAAAUUACAAUGACCUGUCAAUGUUGUAAUGUGCCCCCGGACGGAUGGGGCACAAAUGAAUGGCUAAUUAAACUAUGGAGAGAUAGAGCCUUAUGUCUGAUCCAGGACCAGAGACUUAUGUUAUUUAUUUAUUUUUUUAUAUAUAUA